GGUCCGCUGGUGUAAUGGGCAACACAACCUAACCGUCGUAUAGUCGUUUCUGCGGAUCUUCUUAUACGCACGAGGGAAGUUACCGGUUCGAUUCCGGUGCGGAGCA
rnacentral:tRNA from 1 species